GGUUAAGCGACUAAGCGUACACGGUGGAUGCCCUGGCAGUCAGAGGCGAUGAAGGACGUGCUAAUCUGCGAUAAGCGUCGGUAAGGUGAUAUGAACCGUUAUAACCGGCGAUUUCCGAAUGGGGAAACCCAGUGUGUUUCGACACACUAUCAUUAACUGAAUCCAUAGGUUAAUGAGGCGAACCGGGGGAACUGAAACAUCUAAGUACCCCGAGGAAAAGAAAUCAACCGAGAUUCCCCCAGUAGCGGCGAGCGAACGGGGAGCAGCCCAGAGUCUGAAUCAGUGUGUGUGUUAGUGGAAGCGUCUGGAAAGGCGCGCGAUACAGGGUGACAGCCCCGUACACAAAAAUGCACAUGCUGUGAGCUCGAUGAGUAGGGCGGGACACGUGGUAUCCUGUCUGAAUAUGGGGGGACCAUCCUCCAAGGCUAAAUACUCCUGACUGACCGAUAGUGAACCAGUACCGUGAGGGAAAGGCGAAAAGAACCCCGGCGAGGGGAGUGAAAAAGAACCUGAAACCGUGUACGUACAAGCAGUGGGAGCACGCUUAGGCGUGUGACUGCGUACCUUUUGUAUAAUGGGUCAGCGACUUAUAUUCUGUAGCAAGGUUAACCGAAUAGGGGAGCCGAAGGGAAACCGAGUCUUAACUGGGCGUUAAGUUGCAGGGUAUAGACCCGAAACCCGGUGAUCUAGCCAUGGGCAGGUUGAAGGUUGGGUAACACUAACUGGAGGACCGAACCGACUAAUGUUGAAAAAUUAGCGGAUGACUUGUGGCUGGGGGUGAAAGGCCAAUCAAACCGGGAGAUAGCUGGUUCUCCCCGAAAGCUAUUUAGGUAGCGCCUCGUGAAUUCAUCUCCGGGGGUAGAGCACUGUUUCGGCAAGGGGGUCAUCCCGACUUACCAACCCGAUGCAAACUGCGAAUACCGGAGAAUGUUAUCACGGGAGACACACGGCGGGUGCUAACGUCCGUCGUGAAGAGGGAAACAACCCAGACCGCCAGCUAAGGUCCCAAAGUCAUGGUUAAGUGGGAAACGAUGUGGGAAGGCCCAGACAGCCAGGAUGUUGGCUUAGAAGCAGCCAUCAUUUAAAGAAAGCGUAAUAGCUCACUGGUCGAGUCGGCCUGCGCGGAAGAUGUAACGGGGCUAAACCAUGCACCGAAGCUGCGGCAGCGACGCUUAUGCGUUGUUGGGUAGGGGAGCGUUCUGUAAGCCUGUGAAGGUGUGCUGUGAGGCAUGCUGGAGGUAUCAGAAGUGCGAAUGCUGACAUAAGUAACGAUAAAGCGGGUGAAAAGCCCGCUCGCCGGAAGACCAAGGGUUCCUGUCCAACGUUAAUCGGGGCAGGGUGAGUCGACCCCUAAGGCGAGGCCGAAAGGCGUAGUCGAUGGGAAACAGGUUAAUAUUCCUGUACUUGGUGUUACUGCGAAGGGGGGACGGAGAAGGCUAUGUUGGCCGGGCGACGGUUGUCCCGGUUUAAGCGUGUAGGCUGGUUUUCCAGGCAAAUCCGGAAAAUCAAGGCUGAGGCGUGAUGACGAGGCACUACGGUGCUGAAGCAACAAAUGCCCUGCUUCCAGGAAAAGCCUCUAAGCAUCAGGUAACAUCAAAUCGUACCCCAAACCGACACAGGUGGUCAGGUAGAGAAUACCAAGGCGCUUGAGAGAACUCGGGUGAAGGAACUAGGCAAAAUGGUGCCGUAACUUCGGGAGAAGGCACGCUGAUAUGUAGGUGAAGUCCCUCGCGGAUGGAGCUGAAAUCAGUCGAAGAUACCAGCUGGCUGCAACUGUUUAUUAAAAACACAGCACUGUGCAAACACGAAAGUGGACGUAUACGGUGUGACGCCUGCCCGGUGCCGGAAGGUUAAUUGAUGGGGUCAGCGCAAGCGAAGCUCUUGAUCGAAGCCCCGGUAAACGGCGGCCGUAACUAUAACGGUCCUAAGGUAGCGAAAUUCCUUGUCGGGUAAGUUCCGACCUGCACGAAUGGCGUAAUGAUGGCCAGGCUGUCUCCACCCGAGACUCAGUGAAAUUGAACUCGCUGUGAAGAUGCAGUGUACCCGCGGCAAGACGGAAAGACCCCGUGAACCUUUACUAUAGCUUGACACUGAACAUUGAGCCUUGAUGUGUAGGAUAGGUGGGAGGCUUGGAAGUGUGGACGCCAGUCUGCAUGGAGCCGACCUUGAAAUACCACCCUUUAAUGUUUGAUGUUCUAACGUUGACCCGUAAUCCGGGUUGCGGACAGUGUCUGGUGGGUAGUUUGACUGGGGCGGUCUCCUCCUAAAGAGUAACGGAGGAGCACGAAGGUUGGCUAAUCCUGGUCGGACAUCAGGAGGUUAGUGCAAUGGCAUAAGCCAGCUUGACUGCGAGCGUGACGGCGCGAGCAGGUGCGAAAGCAGGUCAUAGUGAUCCGGUGGUUCUGAAUGGAAGGGCCAUCGCUCAACGGAUAAAAGGUACUCCGGGGAUAACAGGCUGAUACCGCCCAAGAGUUCAUAUCGACGGCGGUGUUUGGCACCUCGAUGUCGGCUCAUCACAUCCUGGGGCUGAAGUAGGUCCCAAGGGUAUGGCUGUUCGCCAUUUAAAGUGGUACGCGAGCUGGGUUUAGAACGUCGUGAGACAGUUCGGUCCCUAUCUGCCGUGGGCGCUGGAGAACUGAGGGGGGCUGCUCCUAGUACGAGAGGACCGGAGUGGACGCAUCACUGGUGUUCGGGUUGUCAUGCCAAUGGCACUGCCCGGUAGCUAAAUGCGGAAGAGAUAAGUGCUGAAAGCAUCUAAGCACGAAACUUGCCCCGAGAUGAGUUCUCCCUGACUCCUUGAGAGUCCUGAAGGAACGUUGAAGACGACGACGUUGAUAGGCCGGGUGUGUAAGCGCAGCGAUGCGUUGAGCUAACCGGUACUAAUGAACCGUGAGGCUUAACCUU
rnacentral:rRNA from 1 species